GAUGAACGCUGGCGGCGUGCCUAAUACAUGCAAGUCGAGCGAAUGGAUUGAGAGCUUGCUCUUAUGAAGUUAGCGGCGGACGGGUGAGUAACACGUGGGUAACCUGCCCAUAAGACUGGGAUAACUCCGGGAAACCGGGGCUAAUACCGGAUAACAUUUUGAACCGCAUGGUCCGAAAUUGAAAGGCGGCUUCGGCUGUCACUUAUGGAUGGACCCGCGACGCAUUAGCUAGGUGGUGAGGUAACGGCUCACCAAGGCAACGAUGCGUAGCCGACCUGAGAGGGUGAUCGGCCACACUGGGACUGAGACACGGCCCAGACUCCUACGGGAGGCAGCAGUAGGGAAUCUUCCGCAAUGGACGAAAGUCUGACGGAGCAACGCCGCGUGAGUGAUGAAGGCUUUCGGGUCGUAAAACUCUGUUGUUAGGGAAGAACAAGUGCUAGUUGAAUAAGCUGACACCUUGACGGUACCUAACCAGAAAGCCACGGCUAACUACGUGCCAGCCGCCGCUGUAA
rnacentral:rRNA from 1 species